rnacentral:lncRNA from 1 species
CAAACAGCCUUGUGUCUAUAAUUAUAAAUUACUAGAUAAUAUAGCUAUUUUCAUACUUCGAGCAGACAACAACUCACCUUAGCUAAUAAAUCCUUCUCUACCUUCUACUAAACUAACACACAAGGACCUAUCACUUUAAUACCAACUCAAUCUCAUGCAAAAAGGUUCUCCUAUACAUGCAUUCAAUAAAUCGCCCUUACCAUUUUUCUUUCCUUUACACCUCUAAACCCCCAG